UCAGGGCAUCCCCCAGAGUGAACAG
rnacentral:misc_RNA from 1 species